AACGAACGCUGGCGGCAGGCUUAACACAUGCAAGUCGAACGCAUCGCAAGAUGAGUGGCAGACGGGUGAGUAACGCGUGGGAAUCUACCCAGAUCUACGGAACAACAGAGGGAAACUUCUGCUAAUACCGUAUACGCCCUACGGGGGAAAGAUUUAUCGGAUUUGGAUGAGCCCGCGUAAGAUUAGCUAGUUGGUGAGGUAAUGGCUCACCAAGGCGACGAUCUUUAGCUGGUCUGAGAGGAUGAUCAGCCACACUGGGACUGAGACACGGCCCAGACUCCUACGGGAGGCAGCAGUGGGGAAUAUUGGACAAUGGGCGCAAGCCUGAUCCAGCCAUGCCGCGUGAGUGAUGAAGGCCUUAGGGUUGUAAAGCUCUUUCAGUGGGGAAGAUAAUGACGGUACCCACAGAAGAAGCCCCGGCUAACUUCGUGCCAGCCGCCGCAGUAAUAC
rnacentral:rRNA from 1 species